GCGCGCGAGAAGGGGGCCGGCACCGCCUGCGUGCACACAAUCGGCGGCCGCGCGCAGCACUCUCGGGUCUCGGAUGGCGGCUGUGGCGGCUGGAAACGGGGCUUUUCGGGAGGAGGAGGGCACCGGUGGGGACGCAGCGGCUCCUCAGCCCCAUGCCCCGACGAGUGCGCCCGGGGCUCGUCUCUCGAGGCUGCCUCUGGCGCGAGUGAAGGCCUUGGUGAAGGCGGACCCCGACGUGACGCUAGCAGGACAGGAAGCCAUCUUCAUUCUGGCACGAGCCGCGGAACUGUUUGUGGAAACCAUUGCAAAAGAUGCCUACUGUUGUGCUCAACAGGGGAAGAGGAAAACCCUUCAGAGGAGAGAUUUGGAUAAUGCAAUAGAAGCUGUGGAUGAAUUUGCUUUCUUGGAAGAUGAGAAAACCGAGGCUCAGAAGAUGAGUGGAGUGACUGUCCCAAAGUACAUAGUUGAUGAAUGAUGACCCUACUGUGGAUUAAUUUGGGAGUAAGCUCUUGACCAUGUUGAGCAAAUCAUCACCAUAAAUUCUGGAACUGUACCUGCGACAUAAAUGUCAGGUUCUCCUCUGUAAUUGAAGCCAUCAAAUGGAGACCAGAAUUCCAGUUCCAAUCAAGUGAGGUGGUGGAGCGUUUUCCUGUUUGUGUAAGUAGAUGCCAGCACUUAUAUAAGUACUAUGUUUCUUCCCAGAACUUAGCUGGAAAGCACCCCUACCCCCCGCCCCCAGGAUGUUUGGCACAUGGCCCAAACCAGCUGACAUUUCAAUUGUCCUUCCCCUCUAUUGCUGUGAUCUCAAAUGUUCAUGAAACUGACAUUUCUCCAAACCCUUAAUGGGAACAUUUCAGUGACAAGUGUCAAUAACAUAAUGGGCUUAGCCCCACACUUAUUCCUUCUUUCAUCCAUCCCUACAAAACGUAUUCAUUAAGCAUCUAUGAAACACCAGGCAGUUUGCUAGGGGUAAGG